UACGGAGGGGGCUAGCGUUGUUCGGGAUUACUGGGCGUAAAGCGCGCGUAGGCGGACCUGCAAGUCGGGGGUGAAAGCCCGAGGCUCAACCUCGGAACUGCCUUCGAUACUGCGGGUCUCGAGUCCGGGAGAGGUGAGUGGAAUUCCUAGUGUAGAGGUGAAAUUCGUAGAUAUUAGGAAGAACACCAGUGGCGAAGGCGGCUCACUGGCCCGGUACUGACGCUGAGGCGCGAAAGCGUGGGGAGCGAACAGG
rnacentral:rRNA from 1 species